UUGGAUUCAGAUUGGGAAGGUCUUGGAAUGCCCAGAUCCACCAACUGCCUUUCUUUAGGGGGACAAAGGCAAGAGCUGUGGUGCCAGGCCUUCUCAACUGUUAUCCCUGUAGGAAGGAGGGAGGACGUGGCGCCCCAGGAGAUAUAUUGCCAGCUAAAACACAAUAGCCCACGAAUCGUGAAAGACGUGGCAUGAGCCAUUCAGGGAGACAGAUUUACUUCUGAUCCUCCCUUGCGACCAUAUAUCCAUCUGCUUGGAGAGAAACAGCCUGCCCACUGGAUUACAUUUCAGCAAGGGGCCCCAGCAAGAGGCUGGCGUCCUGUACUUCCCGUUCCGUGGACUGAGGGAGAAUGAAAGCCCCCCAAGGGCUGAGACUGUUUCCUUUUGAUUUUUGUAUUCCUGGUAAUCAGUCUUUCAUAAAGCCUGGCCAAAUUGAAUCAUUGAAUUGAGUGGGCAGGAACGUGCCUUUCUUUCACUCCUGCUGAGGACAGGAAAAGAUUAAAAUGCCCUUCCAUUUCAAGAAGGAAGAUAUCAGUUGGACUUCCUCCUGGACAGAUAUUUGUUGAGUGGUCUCCAUCUGGGUUUUGAGAUUCCAAGGAUUGCCAGAUCAGGAAGCCUAUGGGAUUUUCUUUCUGGUGUUGAGUGGUCUGGCAUCCAUAGGCUUCCAGACUUGGAGAUUGGAGUCAUUUGAGAGGUUGACUUGUGCAGCUUGGCAUCGUUUGGUAGGUGAGGAGAUGAGGCCAAGAGGGUCCACGUGGCUCAUCUAAGACCACCCCGGUUAUAAGUGACAAAGGCAGGAUUUGAAUCCAUUUAGAUGGACUCCAAAUCCAGGGUGGUAUGUGCUGCCCUGGUAACGCCAGGUGUCUCCUGGACUUCUGGAGGUGGACGUCGGGGCUGGAGGAAUACCUUUCAGUGCUCAUGAGCUAGGCUCUGGUUUAGCCUAGUGGAAGCCUGCUUGUCCCUCUGCGCCUUACUUUCAUCAUCGGUGAAAUGUGGAGAUCGGCACACUUAGGAUGCUAAGUCAAGAAAAAGGCCCCUGUGUCGUAAUGGAAACCAGGGUUUGAGGAAGAUUGCUUGGACAGCUGUGUAGUGGAUCCUUGGGAGUGGGAGAGGCUGGAGACUGAGAAGAGCUAGCAGGCUGUUUGAGGCUCCUCUGGGUCGGAGGUUCCCGAUCCCUGGGGGGUGGGUUGCAGUUAUUGUGGGGGGGGGUUCAUCUCUUAAAUGACUCAGUAUAGUACAGAAACAAAUGUAUCUCUGGUAGACUGAAUAAAUCCGCAUCAUGACGAGCAGAA